UUGAUGAAGAGAUGAUGCUCGCAGUGCAGAACUGUCUAUAAAAACUCCAGCAUUCGUGAAACAGAAGAGAGUGUUCGCAAGUCUUUCUGCGCAGACCACACCAACAGUCCUCAAAGAAGUGAAUGCGGGUCCUGGCCCUCAGGUGUCCAGACGAGCCCCCAGACAGAAGCGUCAAACAGGGACCGAUGUCCUUCCCAAAAGUUACGUCAUGAGCAUCUUCAAGCACUUCGCCAAGACCAAGGUGGCCAGUGAUGUCUAUCCUGUCAUUAAUGAGAUUCUGAAGAAGUAUUUCGAUCGGCUAGCAGAUGAUCUAGAAACGUACGCUACUCAUGCCAAACGGAAAGACUAUUGAGGUUGAGGAUUUGAGCUCCUCAUGAGAAGACAGGGCUUUGUGACAGACAGCACGCCUGUAAAUGUGCUGAUAGAGAAGUAUCUCCCGCUGGAGUAUCGCAAACUUCUCAUCCCAGUGGCCACCAGUGGAAAUAAAGUCAUCCCGACACAAAGAAGGUGAACAUGCAAGAUGACUUGUAUGUGCUCUUGUAAAUAUGUGCAUAUGUUUAAAACAAUACAAAUACCUUUUGUAAAUUAUAAUUGUGUAAUAUAUAUGUUUCUUCCCACACCAUUAAGAAAACAAAACCCUUUUCUUUGUAUUUUUAGCUAUUAAUGUAUAUUUUCAUAAGCAGUUUUUAAAUGACAGACAUUAAAAACCACACAGAAUUUAAACUGAGGGCAUUGUCUUGUUUUGCAUGACU